rnacentral:rRNA from 1 species
UACGGAGGGUGCAAGCGUUAUCCGGAUUCACUGGGUUUAAAGGGAGCGCAGGCGGAUUGGUAAGUCAGUGGUGAAAGGCUUAAGCUUAACUUGGGAACUGCCAUUGAUACUAUCAGUCUUGAAUGUUGUUGAGGUUUGCGGAAUGGGUCAUGUAGCGGUGAAAUGCAUAGAUAUGACCCGGAACACCUAUUGCGAAGGCAGCAGGCUAAACAAAUAUUGACGCUGAGGCUCGAAAGCGUGGGGAUCAAACGGG